UUUUAUUUUUAGGUCAAAUAUUUCGGUCUAGACAAGCUUUCAUUCUUUUGAUUUUUAAAAUUAUUUUUUAUUUUAAAAUUUUUAAAAAUUUUAUUUUUAUAGUAUUAGCAAUUUCUAGAUGCCACACUUCCAACAAUCUAAGGCGAAAGGAAUGGAUAGAUAAAUUUUCUUUAUAAGUUCAUUUCAUUUCUUGUUAUCCUUUAUAAGAUAACAAAUUACACUAUUUAGCCCUAACCAGCUGAGAUGGGCAUGCUUACACCACCGACCAACCCCGGGAGGCAAAAUGCAUCCUCUUCGGCAUGACAUUUAAAAGGUCC
rnacentral:lncRNA from 1 species